CCUACGGGUGGCAGCAGUGAGGAAUAUUGCUCAAUGGACGGAAGUCUGAACCAGCCACGCCGCGUGCAGGAAGACGGCUUUAUGAUUUGUAAACUGCUUUUGUACAAGGGUAAACCUGAAUACGUGCAUUCAGCUGAAAGUAUUGUACGAAUAAGGAUCGGCUAACUCCGUGCCAGCAGCCGCGGUAAUACGGAGGAUUCAAGCGUUCUCCGGAUUGAUUGGGUUUAAAGUGUGCGUAGGCGGGUUUACAAGUUAGAGGUGAAAUGCCCGGGCUUAACUCGGGAACUGCCGUUAAUACUGGUAAUCUAGAGAGUAGAAGAGGUAAGCGGAAUGUAUGGUGUAGCGGUGAAAUGCUUAGAGAUCAUGCAGAACACCGAUUGCGAAGGCGGCUUACCGGUCUGUAUCUGACGUUGAGGCACGAAAGCGUGGGGAGCAAACAGGAUUAGAUACCCGUGUAGUC
rnacentral:rRNA from 1 species